ACCCGCAGCUCCUGGCCCGGUUCUACCACGCGGACGAGGAGCUGAGCCAGGUGGCUGCCGAGCUGGACAGCCUGGACGGGCGGAGGGACCCCCAGCGCUGCACGCUGCUCGUCAGCCAGUUCCGCUCCUGCCAGGACAACGUGUUAAACAUCAUUAACCAGAUCAUGGACGUGUGCAUCCCCCAGGACCGCGCCCCACGGGAUUUCUGUGUCAAGUUCCCCGAGGAGAUCCGGCAUGACAACCUGGCCGGCCAGCUGUGGUUUGGCGCCGAGUGCCUGGCCGCCGGCUCCAUCAUCAUGAACCGCGAGCUGGAGAGCAUGGCCAUGCGCCCGCUGGCCAAGGAGCUGACCCGCAGCCUGGAGGACGUGCGGGGCGCCCUCCGCGACCAGGCGCUGCGGGACCUCAACACGUACACGGAGAAGAUGCGGGAGGCGCUGAGGCACUUCGACGUGCUGUUCGCCGAGUUCGAGCUGAGCUACGUGUCGGCCAUGGUGCCCGUGAAGUCCCCCAGGGAGUACUACGUGCAGCAGGAGGUCAUCGUGCUGUUCUGCGAGACGGUGGAGAGGGCCCUGGACUUCGGGUACCUGACCCAGGACAUGAUUGACGACUAUGAGCCGGCACUGAUGUUCACCAUCCCCCGGCUGGCCAUCGUGUGUGGCCUCGUGGUCUACGCGGACGGACCCCUGAACCUGGACCGCAAGGCAGAGGAUAUGUCUGAGCUGUUCCGGCCUUUCCACAUGUUGCUGCGGAGAAUCAGGGAUUUGCUGCAGACCCUGACAGAGGAGGAGCUUCACACGCUGGAACGGAACCUCUGCAUUUCUCAAGACGUGGAGUUCCCCAUCAGGGCAGAGACCCAGGUGCCCCCUGCCCUGGCGCCCACCUUCCCCGCGCCCCUGGCCCCGGAGGAGCCACUCUCAGCCAAGGCCAAAAACGCAGAGGCGGAUCUGGCCUGCUCCAUGCAAUACGAUGACCAGGAGCUGGAGCAGCUCAGCCGCAUGGUGCACAAGGCCGGGGACGAGAUGUCCUCCCUCCUCUCCCCGCCCAGUGCCGGCCAGUCCCCCGCACACGGGCCAGGCGCCGCGGGCAGCCCCUGCGGGCAGGCGUCCCCAGGCGGCGCGCGGCCACCGGGCAGCGACGAGGAGGAGGGGAGGGUGUUCUUCAUGGAUGACGUGGAAGGGGCGGCAGAGGCCCCGGGCAGCCCGUCUGGGUGGGCUGGCAGCGCCAGGGCUGACCCCCAGCAGAGAGGGCAGGCCAGAGGGAGCAAAGAGCUGGGGGGCAGCAAGCUCGCUGCUGCGGAGGGGGACCCGAGCGACAUUGAGGGUGACAGAAUGCGGGCAGUGGGCCCCAACCUCUGCAGCUGCCUGGACUCCCAGCCGCACCUGGAUGGCUGGGAGGUGAGUGUGGAUGAGGCCGAGACGGCCGAGCUGAUCGCCCACCGGACAGGGGGCAUGAAGCUCUCAGCCACGGUCAUCUUCAAUCCCAAGUCGUCCACCUCAUCGGACUCUGUCCCUGCCAACUCAGAAGCCCCUGGAAAGAGCGUCUCCCCGUCAGAGCCCGGGGCCGAGGGGACGGAGGCUGGCUCCCACAAACUCAGUGCCCCGGCCACCACCUGCCUCCUGAAUUCCUGCGUGUGCUGCGGGGGCUGCGGGGGCAGCAGGGAGGACGCGGCUGAGAGCCUGCGGGGCAAGGGCAGCUCAGGCAGCGUCGUCAGCUCCUCCUACGUUGGCUUGGCCAAGGCCAGUGCCAAGGACUCGGCUGCGGGGCUGUUGGAGGCCCGGCCUGCCCCAGCGGCCUUGCCCACGGGCGCCCCAGCCCCCCUGCCAUCAGAAGACACCCCUGACAGGCAGGAUCCCAAAGCCCCUACUUCCAACAAGUGCCUGGCACACCCCUCAGAGCCCCAGGUGGACGCAGCAGACCGGCUGCCUGGAGCGGGCGACGGUGCCGAGCAGCAGAACGAGGCUGAGCGCCUGCGGCCCUCGGCGCCUGGGGAGGAGAGUCGACUGGGAGGGGCAGCCGAGGAGGAGCCCCGGCACCUGCCGGGCUCCAGGUGCAAGCCGUGUGGCAUCAGCCAAGUGCAGUGGAACAAGUUCUAAGAGGCGGCUUUCUUCCUCAGGACUUCUGACCCAGUGGCCCAGAGACGACUGGUGACAGCCGGGGGACACCUCCCUACUUUGUCUGGAAUCGCCUCCUGCUUUCCCGACACGCCCCCCCGUGGACACUGCUUGUUCACAUCAUGCCAGCAGCUGCCCAGACCUCCUCUGGCUUAACACAAACGCUGAGCUGAGCUGAGAAGAGGAAAGGGCCAUCGGGCCACACCCGGAGGCCCUCGGAGACACUCCCAUCCUCCAGGAAGGUGGUCUCCAGGAAGUGCAGAGGGUCUGAGGAAGGAAGAAUGUGGCACUUGGCCGGGUGAUCAGGGCAGCCAUGCCUUUGGGCCAGGACCGUGGACAGCGGCGUCUGGGGCCCAGCAUUGCACCAGGAGCAGCUGGGAAUAGGUCAGCAGAUGGCGCCUGUCCCCUCCGCUGGCAGCAUGUGUAUCAGGAGCCCUGUUCGUUCGUUCAUUCAUUUAUUCAUGCAUUCACAGUACGUGCGGGUUCCCGGGUGCUGAGCAAGGUGCCAGAGACACACCCAGGAACAAGGCAGAGGUGGCCCGGCCUCUUGGAGCGUGAUCGGACAUGAAUACGGAGGGGACAAAGCCAUACGAUUGAAACAGACACAAAGACCAGCCUUACACAGGCAGAAAGUUCCCCAGAAUUCAGAUGGCGAGAUUCCUGGCAUUGGUUGGCACCUUAGUAGCACCUCUGGUGGCUUCCUGCGGAAACAGCCGGGCCGGUGUCAGGUGCAGGCGGCCACCUUCCCUUCGGCAGAGGAAGAGCUGGAGCCCAGGAGAAGCUGGUACUCCCCUUGGCUCCAAGUGCCUGGGAGGGCUGGUGUCACCCUUGACCUUCUGCCCAAGCAAGAGCCCAUCUGCUCUGUGCGGUGCACUUGGUCAUCACUCGGUUGUGAAGAGCUGUCGCCCUGAUUUGACCGUGAGGCCUGCCUGUCCAGCAGGGGCCCCUGUGGCCCCUGUGAUGUGCUGCAUGGAGGAGUGACUUGCAGGUGUGGCCCUGCGCUCAUGAACUUCUGGCCAGAAGUGUGAGUCAGGCAGGUGCAGCUCAGACCUCUGUGUCACCAUCGGGCUGGGCGCCAUGCAGGGAGUUGUGGCUAAGGAUCUGCUUGUGGGGCCAAGGUCCCUGAGGACACCCAGAGCCGAAUCUCCCACUUGAGCAUCGUACAGCCUGCGGGUGAGGGCUAGGGCUGCCAGAAGGACAGACAUAGGGCAGGAGGUGGGGCCUGGAGCAGGGGCCCAGCCAGGAGAAGCGCCUCCCCACCCACCGUGACUCUCCCAGACCCUGCCCAGCCCGCUGCACACAGGCUGUUCCAGCAAUGCUGUUGCCCAAGGUGGGGACGUGUCACCCCGGCAGAGUCCUGGGCAGAAUGUUCCAGAACCAAGUGUCCUUCAGCUCUUUUCUUUUUAUCACCUUCUUUCUUACCUUUUCAAUGCUCGAAGAUUAAUCUUUUUGGGGGGAAAGUUGGCAUCUUUUAGAAGCGUGCUGUUCACUGUCUGGACUCACCUCAUCAUCAGAACCUUCCACACUCUUGAGGCCCCUGAAUUGCUCUCUUGUCCAGGAGACGGAAACUCGCCCUGUCUCAGGUCGGCUUUGUCCUUUCUGUGGACAUUUUACUAAAGGGUGUGUCCAACCUUCCGCUUGCUUGAAAAAAUAACACCGACUCUUUCUUCUAGUUAUAGUUGUGGCCCAUCCACUGCAGAAGCUCACGGAAAAACGAAAAAGAGAGAAAGAAAGAAAGCAAAACCAUUCCAAGUCCCAUGAGCAGUUUUACAGUUUUUUUCUGAAUGUUAUUUUUUGAUCAUUUAUCCGCAAAAUCCAUUAAAAACGCAAGUCCCGUA